GACGAACGCUGGCGGCGUGCUUAACACAUGCAAGUCGAACGGAAAGGCCCUGCUUUUGUGGGGUGCUCGAGUGGCGAACGGGUGAGUAACACGUGAGUAACCUGCCCUGGACUUUGGGAUAACUUCAGGAAACUGGUGCUAAUACCGGAUAGGAGCUCCUGCUGCAUGGUGGGGGUUGGAAAGUUUCGGCGGUUGUGGAUGGACGCGCGGCUUAUCAGCUUGUUGGUGGGGUAGUGGCUUACCAAGGCUUUGACGGGUAGCCGGCCUGAGAGGGUGACCGGCCACAUUGGGACUGCGAUACGGCCCAGACUCCUACGGGAGGCAGCAGUGGGGAAUAUUGCACAAUGGGCGGAAGCGUGAUGCAGCAACGCCGCGUGCGGGAUGACGGCCUUCGGGUUGUAAACCGCUUUCGCCUGUGACGAAGCGUGAGUGACGGUAAUGGGUAAAGAAGCACCGGCUAACUACGUG
rnacentral:rRNA from 1 species